UCGCAUAUUUUAAGCUCAAUACAAAUCGCCCGCGCCCGAGCGGGUAGUCGUGACGUUGUAUAAGCCAUCGCCACCCUUUACUACCAUCGGCGCGUAAAACGGCGCCCGACAGCUGGCGCUGCCGUUUCUUGCGCAAAACGCAAAUGCGCUGCUAAAAAAACCAGCCUAGACAGCCGACAGAGCGAAAAGGGAAGGGAAAGCGCGCGCCAAAUUAUAAACACGAUCUUCGACGCUCGCCGCGAUGACCUCGUCCCCUGCUACUAGCAGUUUGUGAGAGUUACAUGAUCCAGUUAAACCAGCGCAGCACUACGCGAAAACUGAACCUUUCGACCACCCGCGCUGUUACGGUGGCUAUUGCAGCCAUAUGUGAACAAGUAGCAUGUUCUUCCGUAAUAUAAUGCAAUGCAAUGAUCUUUUUUUUAUUAUACGUGGUUCAGUACCCGGGACAGAAAUAUUAUGAGGAGUCGCUACGUCACCGGGAUAGUACUUGAAUGUUCCGGGAGCUCCAAAUCGUGUCCUGCAUUUACCUCAAUUUCUCAAUUAUUACUGCUCUGUUAUUCCUCGAUAACAUUGACGCCUUAGAGGGUCUCGAGCAUUUUGUCACUAUAGCUUCACUUAAUAUUUGCGUUUAGUGUCCUUUAGGUGCAUUUCCAUCGUUCACUGGCGCCGGUGUACAUUUUCCAGAGUGAGCGAGUGGAUUGCAAGGCUCUGCAUUGUUUCUACCAAUAACAAAGUAACGGGCCACUGUGAAAGCGUCCUCGCAGGCACGAAUUCGGAGAUUUAUGGCGAGUGUAGAAAGCUGGUUCUUGAAACCACUGUUCUUGUAGAUAAGCAGCGCAUGCCUCGUAAUUCACUAACCUAUUAACCACGGCGAACACCUGAAGUUGUUUAUUUCGUGCAGUUGUACAAGGUCUUUCCUCAGGUCAUCAUCGCUUAGUCUUUUGUACUAUACAUCCUUUUUUUUUUUUCUCAUUUUACAAACUUGUCUUGGAAGGCUCAUGACCCGAAUGACGCCGCAGACGUUUGCGAGCCUGGACAUUUGUUUGCAAUCCAAACUGUUCUGCUGCAAAAGAAAGAGACAAUAAAAAGAUAUUCACUCC
rnacentral:lncRNA from 1 species